GAUGAAGAACGCAGCGAAAUGCGAUAAGUAAUGUGAAUUGCAGAAUUCAGUGAAUCAUCGAAUAUUUGAACGCACAUUGCGCCCGCCAGUAUUCUGGCGAGCAUGCCUGUUCGAGCGUCAUUUCAACCAUCAAGCCCCAGGCUUGUGUUGGAGCCCUGCGGCUGCCGCAGCCUCCCAAAACCAGUGGCGGGCUCGCUAUCACACCGAGUGCAGUAGUUUACUCUUCGCUCAGGGCGUGUGGCGGGUGCUAGCCGUGAAACCCCCAACUUCUCAAGGUUGACCUCGGAUCAGGUAGGAAUACCCGCUGAACUUAAGCAUAUCAAUAAGCGGAGGA
rnacentral:misc_RNA from 1 species